rnacentral:lncRNA from 1 species
AUGGAACGUGAUUCAUGUCCAAAAAAUAAAAUUGAUGGGACAACGUGUCUUAAUACAAUAAUGAUUCGUGUCCAUAGUUUGUGCCAAAGCUGGUUAUCUAAUUCAAAGAAUAUAUAUUAAAAGAAAUUAUCUCCAAGAAUUAGAAAGGUCUGAAGUAUACAAAAUAGUUUGGUGCAGCAGUCCCACAUCGAAGGUGCAGAAACAACAAAGAAAAAUAUUUAUCUAUAAAAGAUCAUUCAUACACGGAGACGAAGUAACUCUUGUCGGACCAAGUAAUUCACAUUGCUUUGUCCAUUUAGUUUAAAAAUUAAUGUUCAUUUGUUCAUUGGUACUAAUAAUGAUGUUCAUUUGUAUGUCAAAUGUAGUGUGAUUCAUGUUAAA